UAGUAUAGAAGUUUGAUAAAUUUCAGUUGAACUUUUUGGUUUGAUAAGUUUGACCAGCAGAGACAGUAAAUUCAUAAACUGGUCUUCCUUUUUGUCAGAAAUUAUUUCAGCUCUAUUGUGAUUUACCAAAGCAUUUAACUUUUGGUUAAUAUUUAGUACUAUAGAUAACAACUUCUUAGUCAUAACCCAAAUAUUUGUAUUACUUAAAUUCUUGCAUGCAUGUUAGCGAUCGAUUUCGAUUCCUACAAUAAUUAUGUUUUUGUAAUGAAUUUUUAUAUCUAUUACCAUAAAGGAACCUAUCUUUCUUCCAGGUAUUAAUGAGAGGAACAAAAUUAAUGGCAAACCUCUAAGCACAAGUGAGGUAGAAAUGAAAGCAACAAUUGUUAUAUCUAAAUCUUUAAGCACAAGGUUGAAACUCGAGUCAUCCUCACCCAAAAAAGAAGAAGUAACAAGCGAGUCUUCGAGUUCAUUUCAUGACUUAUGAAUUGAUAAGCUUGAAAUAUAAUGUAACUUAGAUUUUCUUAUUUCAUCGCAAUUAUGGCCAUCUUAAUGUUGUCCAAUCGCAUGAAAUAUCUUUUUUAUUUUGAUAUUUUUGGUUGCUGAAAAAGAAAACAUUUUUAAAUUUUCAGAUGAAUGGUGCAUUCUCUCUCCAUAUGGGAUUGAUCAUUAGGAACUAUAGACGAUGAACUAGUGAGGAUGGUAUGUUGGUUAUUUAAGUUUUUUUACUAUCUUAGUGCUGCAGAUUUACAGGUAAGUUAAUAUGCCACUUUCUGUUAGGUUACUUGAAAUAACUUUGUCUUUAACCACAUGUGAUAAAUUGAUUUUUGUAGAUAUUUACAUCAGUUUAGAUUUUACGAUUCAUCUCAUUUUGAUUUUGUGAUUUUUUUUUAACCCUUUGCCAUGUGAAUUUCAAUAUCCAUUUGCAUAUGAGAACUAAACCAAGUGAGCAUGUUUAUUGUUAGUAUAGAACCCACGUUCUACCGUUAGCACUCAUGAAUUUGGUAAAAGAACUGCUGAAAAAAGGCUUAUAUUUUUAGAUUAGUGUCUCCAUUUUGGGUCUUAAAAAAAGAGAGGGAAAAACCAGUAGAAACGUUAGGUGAAUUGUCAAAUUUCUGAUCUUUGAAAAAUCUUAUAAUUCAUCUAUUUAAGGACUCCUUAAUAAGUUUCUCCUUUUUUUUUAUAAAUCUAUUCAAAAAUGUUUUGGCAAAGAGACAUCCCACAUGCACUAGACUUUCUUAGAAAAGGGAGAAACUUGAUGUUUGUGGAAACUGAGAUGGGUACUUGGGGCAAAACUAGUAGACUAGGUGAUGUUGUUGGUGGACUACCACCAGCCCUGGCAAUAAGUAUCAAUCUUUGGUUUGAUUUUUAUUAUAUUUUCCGUAUUCAUUUUUUUUUUGUUUAGGCCCGUGGACAUCGAGUAAUGACAGUAUCUCAUUGAUAUUGAUUGUUCAUUUGAUCUUCACAUUGUGACUGCUCUCUUCACUGAGAAAUAUGGAGAAGAUCUAAAAUAGCUAGCAUCAAGAAUGACACAUUAGUUUACUUUACCUGAAUAACAAAAAAGAAUGGUACUUUUAGUUUACUUUACUUGAUAACAAACCAAACAACUGAGACACCAACACACUUCCUACUAAUUUCUGAUUUUUCAUUCACCUAAAGUUGUCUAAAAAUAUGCAUUCUCUGUUAAAUUUUCCCCGAAAAUGCAUCUUCUGUUUUAUAAUGCUCUACUUUUAUUUUUGCAGCCCUUUUAAUUUCAAGUUAAUUCAGCUGAUUGAUUUUGAGUGUUUUACUAGCUUUUUGAAGGUUACGACGAGGUUACAUCCAAACAUCGUAACGAUCUAGCAAUGAUGGAUAAGCUACGUGAGGAAUUGAAGUCGAAAGCUCCAAUUAAACAUGCACCCAAAGAACUAGACAACAAGAUUGAAGGGGUUACAACACACCCUAAUCUCCCAAAGGGAAUGAAGUACGUCAUCAAGAAGAUUAUAACAUUUUUUUUGUAAUAGUAAACAUUUUAGAUGUAUCUGUUGUUUUAAUGUAUCUAAUACAUUAACUGUAAUGUAUUAGAAUCAAUAAGCAAUUGAAAUGUAAUAAUCUUUCCAUAUAUCAAUUGAAAAAAUGUAUGUUUUUCUCAUCUGUCA